GAUGAACGCUGGCGGCGUGCCUAAUACAUGCAAGUCGAGCGAAUGGAUUAAGAGCUUGCUCUUAUGAAGUUAGCGGCGGACGGGUGAGUAACACGUGGGUAACCUGCCCAUAAGACUGGGAUAACUCCGGGAAACCGGGGCUAAUACCGGAUAACAUUUUGAACCGCAUGGUUCGAAAUUGAAAGGCGGCUUCGGCUGUCACUUAUGGAUGGACCCGCGUCGCAUUAGCUAGUUGGUGAGGUAACGGCUCACCAAGGCAACGAUGCGUAGCCGACCGUAGAGGGUGAUCGGCCACAAUGGGACUGAGACACGGCCCAGACUCCUACGGGAGGCAGCAGUAGGGAAUCUUCCGCAAUGGACGAAAGUCUGACGGAGCAACGCCGCGUGAGUGAUGAAGGCUUUCGGGUCGUAAAACUCUGUUGUUAGGGAAGAACAAGUGCUAGUUGAAUAAGCUGACACCUUGACGGUACCUGCAGAAAAAGCACCGGCUAACUACGUGCCAGCAGCCGCCGUAA
rnacentral:rRNA from 1 species